rnacentral:misc_RNA from 1 species
UUAACUAUUAUAUAGUACUCAGACGACAUGUAUAAACAGAGUUUAGGGUCCUCUGGCGAGCGCUCACCAGCGUGAGCCGGUGGCCGAAGCGGCUCGCCAAAGCAACAAAGGUAUAAUUAACAUAGGGUUGGAGAGUCACCCUUGCGGGCGAUGUUCUCUGUAAUGAUCCCUCCGCAGGUUCACCUACGGAGA